rnacentral:tRNA from 1 species
AGUUAAACACUUUAGAAAGUCUUGUAUUUUGAAAAUAUAAUGCAAGGAGUUUAAUCCUCCUAUUAACUU